GUGCUCACUUUGGAAGCACAUAUACUAAGAUCAGAGCCGUGCAGAGAUGAUUAGCAUGGCCCCGUGCAAAGAUGACACAUAAAAUGGUCUGUGUUUUUUUUUU